rnacentral:rRNA from 1 species
CCUACGGGUGGCAGCAGUGGGGGAUAUUGCACAAUGGGGGGAACCCUGAUGCAGCGACGCCGCGUGGGUGAAGGAGCGUUUCGGCGCGUAAAGCCCUAUCGGCAGGGAAGAAGAUGACGGUACCUGACCAAGAAGCCCCGGCUAACUAAGUGCCAGCAGCCGCAGUAAUACGUAGGGGGCAAGCGUUAUCCGGAUGUACGGGGUGUAAAGGGGGCGCAGACGGCAAUGCAAGACAGGAGUGAAAGCCCGGGGCCCAACCCCGGGACUGCUCUUGGAACUGCAUGGCUGGAGUACAGGAGGGGCAGGCGUAAUUCCUAGUGUAGCGGUGAAAUGCGUAGAUAUUAGGAGGAACACCAGUGGCGAAGGCGGCUUACUGGACAGUAACUGACGUUGAGGCUCGAAAGCGUGGGGAGCAAACAGGAUUAGAUACCCUUGUAGUC